CCUACCCUUUGUUUAGUGCGAAGGAGCUGAACAUGUGUUUCUUGGACCUCCAUCCUAUAACACCUGUUGGAAGAACUAACCUUUAGACCAGACAUUGAUUCAAUCAACUCAUUGACGUUCAGGUCCCUGUCCUCCGUGCUUCCACGACAGAUAUCCCUCAGAUUCUUGAUGAGCGUAAAAGGUUCGUAAGCUACAAACCUUAUAGCCCAUUCAUCAGGGAUAUUGUUCAGCAUGAGACUCAUAACCUUUUUGAGAUCCGCAUCCCAGGCGGCAAAUCUUUCAGGGGUCAUGUGUAAUAUCCCGAAUUUUUGGAUAUUUUCUAAUAAAUUAUUUUGAUAAAUUUAGAUAAUUUUACAAUUAAAAUAAAGUCUUUAAUGAGUAAAACUACAAGUAUAUUUUCUGAUUUAGUUUACAAAAUUUCUGAAAUUAGUCUCCUUGCUAAACCCUAAUACCCUAGGUUAUAUAUACUCACAAACCUCACAAAAUAAAAUUCACUACUAUAAUAAACUCUUGCCCUCUCGCACCUCUGCCGUCAUCAAAGACAUCUCUUAAUUUCCUCCAUCUCCUGGUAAGUUAUCUCCCUCAACCUUGAUUUUGGCACAAAUUACCAAUUCAUCUCCCGCUUGUACUAUGCAGGUGCAUCUUUUGUUUCUCCUGUUGCAAUUCACUCGCUGGCUAGUUUAAAUAGAGCUGAGUUUGACCUUCCCCUCUUAUUUUCAUGUCGACGGGAUUACUAGGUGGUUCUUCCGAAUUAAGAUUCCGUACCUUGAGAAAUCAGGCGCGUUAAAGGUUGGUAAAGGUACUUGGCUAUGAGUGAGGAGACGCUUAGAAUAACCACCUAGUCAAGAGACAAUUUCUAUUUCAGUUUUAAGUUGGAUUUUGUUAUUCAUUUUAUGGGAAUUGGUUGUAAUAUUUUUACGGGCCACCUUUUAGACCACUUAGUUAAUUUUGACUUUAAUAGUUUAAAAUUGUUUUGUUGCUUUGAAUUUAUUUUCUAAGGAGAAUAGAUGUAGCAGUGACACUCCCAAGGUUUGGACGAUGAUUUUAUGAAAUAAAAA